rnacentral:lncRNA from 1 species
GGGCUCCUGAUGUGGAGGAAGAGGGUGAGGGUUAGCAGUCCAGAAAAUGUCAAUUCCACGUCCAUUGAAGUUGUGUUCAUUGAUACUGUUUCUGUUGUCACCCUCCCCCUAACUCACCACCCUUGUUGCUGUGGCUUUUUCAUUGUUAGCUUACCAUGUAACUUGCAUUUUUGGAGUAGAUUUUGCUGACCUUUGGUAACCUGGAGAUGACUGUGUUUCUUUCUGAAGUGAAAUAGUCAUGGGUUUUGAUGAGAGGCCCUUUUCAUCUCAUAAGCAUUUGCCCAUAAAAGAAUUAGGAAAAACAAAAAUCAAUGCUACUCUCCUCCUUUUUCAUAUAACAUUAAAAUGCUAUCAAAACAAAGUAAUGUAUCUUUGAUCUAACAAACUUCAUAAUUCAAAUUCACUUAAAUAGAUGUAGAUUUGAUACAUGUCUUAAGUAAAGAAAAGGAAAAUAUGUCCAGGCUUAUGAAACAGGUGGCCAGGGGGAAUAAAAGUUAAUAUAAUGGAGUAAAAUGUAUUUGGUGAAUUUUUCCUCAGCAAAUUCAAUUGAUAGCACCAAGCUUAGAUAAUCAUAGUUCAGCAAAUAAAACCAUUUUACUUAAUGGUAAUAGAUUUAGUAGAGUUACUCUGAGGACCAAACAAAACUAGGUUGCUUAAGUAUUUAUUUAAAAACAAAGAAAAACAGAGUCCCAACUGUGUUGUCCUGCUCUGCAGAAUACCUUUAGGAUACUAAGAAAGCAUAUACAUAAUGUGUUCCUGUUACAGGACUUUCCCUUAAUUCAGCUAAAGGUGGGGUUCUUUGUUCCAUCACGAAAAUUCAGGCUCGCAGACAAUUUGGGUGGUGAGUGAGACAGAGUUUUAUUGGGUGGAAAGGAAGAAAGGGGAAAAACAGGGACUCUCGCUAGGCCAGUGUUCCUGCUAGAGUGCUUCCCGCCCAAAGCUUGGAUCCCGGGUUCCACCCAGGAAGAGGAGAAACCAGGCAGAGAGAAACAAACAUGUUCUAAAUUUUAAUCACAGGAGUGUAUACCUUACUUAAUUAUUAAAGUCUGAAAAUAGUUCAAAAUAAGUUUCCUUUACUCUGAAAAACAAAACAAGGAUCAGCAAUAUUCCAAACAAGGUUAAAAGGAUUGCUUCAGUUUCUAAGUUUAGUCCAUUUAGUUUUUGUUUUGCUUGUAUUCAUUAAUAUUUCAGCUCUUUAUGAGUCCUAUAUAUUUUUCUUUAUUCCAAUUUCACAGUCUCCAAAGUUAUCAGAAACCUGUAUUUGAGAGCACCUGUUACAGUUCUAUAGCUUAUUAUAAACCAUCUUUUGAAAAGGAUUAAAAUAAAACAACAAUUUUUGAAUAGCAAAAUAUCCAGGGUAGUUACAGUUAGAAACAUGAUUGACAGAGAAGUUUGAUUAGCUCUGUGAUUUACAAUAACUUAACAAAAAACCUUAAUUAUGAUUGAUAGCUAUACUCAGAUAUUAGAAUUUUAGAAACUCCAUACAAUUUUGGAACAUAUAUUGGCAUUCUUCACCAAGAUAUAACUUAACCUAAAGAAGAUCAUUUUGUCAAUCCCAUGUACCUAAAUAUGUUAAAUAAUUCUGUUUACCUCUUUUUCUCUGGACAUUCCAGGGGCCCUCUGGACUUUCCACAAACCCAGGUGUCGAGGAAGACAAUUUUAAAACUGAAGUUUGAUUUUGGGAAGGCUGUUAAAUGUUCAAGGUUUAAAACACUUGAUAUUAUGAAAUAGAAUUCCUGAUUACUGUAAGUUAUUUAUUUUGCCAAAAUGAUGACUCAGAAAUUUUAAAGAACCAAAAACCUUUUAUAAACCUUUAUAAAUUUUGCCAAAGAGAUUAGCAUUUUAAGAAUUUCUUGUUGUGUUUUUAUUUCAAUGCUCGAUUUACAGAAAAAAACAUUUAAUACCCUUUUGAAUUUAGCAAAAAUAUUUACAUAGAGACCUUCUUCUGCAAGAUUAAUUUCCACAAUUCUUCCACCACUUCUUUGAACCUUUAGCUUUUUCCUAAUUUAACUCAAAACAAUCAUUUAACUCUAGGCAAAAGUUUACAUUUCCAUGCCUUCUUAUAACCUUUUACUAAAAAAACACAUUUUACUGUUCUUACACACCUUGCAUGUAAAUCUAUUUCUAGUAGUUUCAAUUAACUUCUAGCAAUUUGGUAAAACUUGGUAAGUUGCCUUAAUUGUGUGAUAAGUGCAGCCAAGAUUUGACUCCAGCAUAAUUAAGGGUGUGGUUAGUUCCAUAUGUCCCCAGACCCUACCAAUGAUGUAGCUGACAAGUAAAAUAGCUCUCAAAACCCAAAAAGCAGUUUGUAACCUCAAAACAAUUAGCAAACUUUGCAUCUGACCUGCAUUUUACGAAUAGUCUUUAGGGCUGUUUUUAUUUCUUAAAGAUUAAAGUCAUGUGAAAUGAAAGGUACCACAGCUUUUAGCUUUAAAAAAUGUUAGAUCCAAGCACUUUUCUUUAGGCCAGAUUAAUUAGAGUUAUUUUUACAGACAUCACAUAUAGUACACACAGACAGGCAGAAGAAAACCCAGUUGCUGGGUAGGGCCUUUUAAGAGACAGGGCUAGGAAAACAUGUAGAUUACUUAACCUGAGAGGGGCAUCCCCUAAGGUAGGGUUGCUAAACAAAUCCUUGCCAGGCAGUAACUGGCCACACCCCCCAGAUGUAAAACAAGAUGGAGGCUUGAUUUCACAACCACAACUUUGCAAAGAAUACAGUCAUAGUUGGUGGGUGGAUUGGGGGGAGGUGCAGGGCUGGCCUAGUAAAACAUCUUCUAAAAGGAAAAACAAAAAACUAUAAAAGUUAACUUGCUGACAGGGUGGAGAAGAGGAAAAAAGAGAAAGUUUUCAAAUGCCUGGGGGAGAUCCUCUUAUUCUUAGGCAAGUGGUUCUUCCACCAGAGAGAAAAGUUUAAUUACUGCCUGAUGGAGCUGAACCCCUUGGGUGGGGAAGGGAAAGGCUGCAGUGGCUUCUGGAUGGGAACCAGCCACCCGGCUGUGUGAGACUCUUGAGCCAUGUGUCCCAGCCCCAGCAUGGAGGGGAGGGGGAGCAAGGAGCCCCUGCUCCCCUGUCCUGAAAAAGGAAGGAAAGGGCCUUUCCCCCAACCCCAGGGAGCCACAGGGUUUGGGGGUAUGUAUUCCCAACCCUCAGAAGUCCUCAGAAGGUGAGAGGUUCUGAGUCCUCAUUUCACUCACUGCUUCUUGAGCCCCAUGUUGGGUGCCAAAAAUGUUGCAGGACUUUUCCUUAGUUCAGCUAAGGGCAGAGUUCUUUGUCCCACAGCCAUGAAAACUCAGGCUUGCAGACAAUUUGAAUGGUGAGUGAGACAGGAUUUUAUUGGGUGAAAAUGAAGAAAAGGGGGAAACAGGGACUCUCACUAGGCCAGCGUCCCUGCUACAGUGCUUCCAGCCUGUAGCUUGAAUGCCAGAUUCCACACAGGAAGAGGAGGGGCCAGGCUCCUCCCUGCUACAAAUGUCAUGAACUUCCCAAGGCUCCACCUCAGUGGGUAGGCUGGUUGGAGUUUCUCUGGGGACCCCCUCCAACAUGGCUGUCUCAUUCCCAAUUUUGGUUUAACCCUGAAACUUUAGCCUCUUAUUUCCAAGUAAUUACAUGACUUUCUCACUGUCACAAUUGUGCCUGAUAUUCAAGUCUAUAUACUUCUUAUCCCUUAAAAAAAAAGGCACCCCUUCUACAGUUCCUUGGGAAUUCUGGUUGCCUACUGUGGACAAUAGAAUAGAUUGAAUUGGAAAUAUAUUCACAUUGGGACAAUAUUCCAGUGGUUUCAUUGACAGACAUUGAUGUGUGUCUCUCACCAAAGGUUUUGCCAUGAGAGAGAAACCCUUAGGAUGGAGGGACUUUUUUGAUCUGUCUAUCAAGAAACAGGUAGUGAAGAACUAGAAUGGUCUAUUUUUUGUCAGGAAGUUUUGAGGGAUCAGUUUGACACAUGUACUGCAAUAAGUGCAAGCAGUCCCAUUUUUAAUAUGGAGUCGAUAAUCACAGAUAGAAACAUACCAGAGACAUAGGGAUGGAGUCAGGGAUUCAGAAAGACAGGCAUUAAAAUAAGUUUCAUGUAUACAAAUAGAUUUAAAUACUGUAUGAAACAAUGUCAAAAGGAAAAUCUGGGGACUUGUGAGGCCAUCAAAAGGGAGACAAUCCAUGUGGAAAAGAGCAAAAGGAGCUCUUUCUUAUCACCCUACCUUCUCUACUCCAACUUUGACAAAAGUGCUUAAGUACAGUCUGAGAAAAGUUGAGUUGAGGAUCUGGGAGAUGAGACCGACUCAGAGAUUCAUCGUGGUGGGUUCUAAGGUCAAAAAAGUAGCAUGGCUUAUGAGAAAAUCCCCAUCUCUUCUCAACAGCUAUGUCCAUUUCUUCCUUGAGUUUAUCCCCUAGAUGGAGGCAGAGAUAUUAAUGAAAAGAUCUAAAAUUAUGACAGACAUUACAACCUCUUUGGUUUGAUUGAAAAUACGGUAACAGACAGCAGGAACAGAAAAGCUGCAAGGGAAGUCUAUGAGGGUUCCAGGUUUCACUUAUUCAUGUUUCCUGAGGCCAAUUCAUCUUCAUUAGUUUGACUAAUAUUUAUUGAGCAGACACUGUAUGUUUUACGUACUGUUUUAGGCAGUGGUAUACAACAGAGAAAAACAGAUAAAGUAACUUAUCUGAUGUGGUUUAUGUUUCAGGAGGAGGAACAAACAAUAUACAAAUAAAUAUGAUGUGAGUAGGGAUGUGUUAUGAAGAAAAAUAAAGCAGAGCAAAAAAAUAAAAAUGAGACAGGUGGAUGAAGUAAGAAAUGUCCUUUGAUAAGGUGACUUUUGAAACUUAAAAGAGGGAACCAAUCUUUGGGGAAAAAAACAUUCAAAGCAGGAUGUACAUUACUGCAAGGGCACCAAUUGCAAGUCCUUCAGUAAAAGCUGAGCACAGGGUUGGUGUUCUAUGGAAUUGUGUAUGUUAUGCAGGUGAUAAGAGAGAAAUGGUGAGAAACUUCAACUUGCACAUAUUUGUAUAGAUUGUCAACCUGAAAAAAUACAGCCAAAUUUGUUUUAAAUGUGAACUUCUUUGAAAGCUCAUUUGUUACCCAAUGCAUCAUCCUUUCUCCAGUUAGCCAUUUGCAUCUUGCAUUUCCAAACAUAUAAAGUGAAAACACAAUUUAUGGGGAGACAGAGCAACCAGGAAAGGAAAAAAACUGUAGCAUUUUGUGAUAUU